CGCAUGGCCUUUAUACCCUGGGCGACACACACGCUACAAUGGGUGGUACAGUAGGUAGCGAAGGAGCGAUCCGGAGCAAAAUCCUUAAAACCAUCCUCAGUACGGAUUGCAGGCUGAAACCCGCCUGCAUGAAGCCGGAGUUGCUAGUAACCGCAUAUCAGCAUGGUGCGGUGAAUACGUUCUCGGGCCUU
rnacentral:rRNA from 1 species